UAAGCGGAGGAAAAGAAACUAACAAGGAUUCCCCUAGUAACUGCGAGUGAAGCGGGAAAAGCUCAAAUUUAAAAUCUGGCGGUCUUUUGGCUGUCCGAGUUGUAAUCUAGAGAAGUGUUAUCCGCGCUGGACCGUGUACAAGUCUCCUGGAAUGGAGCAUCAUAGAGGGUGAGAAUCCCGUCUUUGACAUGGACUGCCAGGGCUUUGUGAUGCGCUCUCGAAGAGUCGAGUUGUUUGGGAAUGCAGCUCAAAAUGGGUGGUAAAUUCCAUCUAAAGCUAAAUAUUGGCGAGAGACCGAUAGCGAACAAGUACCGUGAGGGAAAGAUGAAAAGAACUUUGGAAAGAGAGUUAAACAGUACGUGAAAUUGCUGAAAGGGAAACGCUUGAAGUCAGUCGCGUCAUCCAGGGAUCAACCUUGCUUUUGCUUGGUGCACUUCCUGGUUUGAUGGGUCAGCAUCAAUUUUGACCGUUGGAAAAAGGCUGAGGGAAUGUGGCAUCUUUGGAUGUGUUAUAGCCCUCUGUCACAUACAAUGGUUGGGAUUGAGGAACUCAGCACGCCGCAAGGCCGGGUUUUAAACCACGUACGUGCUUAGGAUGCUGGCAAUAUGGCUUUAAUCGACCCGUCUUGAAACACGGACCAAGGAGUCUAACAUGCCUGCGAGUGUUUGGGUGGAAAACCCGAGCGCGUAAUGAAAGUGAAAAGUUGAGAUCCCUGUCGUGGGGAGCAUCGACGCCCGGACCAGACCUUUUGUGACGGUUCCGCGGUAGAGCAUGUAUGUUGGGACCCGAAAGAUGGUGAACUAUGCCUGAAUAGGGUGAAUCCAGAGGAAACUCUGGUGGAGGCUCGUAGCGAUUCUGACGUGCAAAUCGAUCGUCAAAUUUGGGGUAUAGGGGGCGAAAGACUAAUCGA
rnacentral:rRNA from 1 species